GACUCCUACGGGAGGCAGCAGUGAGGAAUAUUGGACAAUGGUCGGAAGACUGAUCCAGCCAUGCCGCGUGCAGGAUGAAGGUCUUAUGGAUUGUAAACUGCUUUUGUAAGGGAAGAAUAAGGGCUACGCGUAGUUUGAUGACGGUACCUUACGAAUAAGCAUCGGCUAACUCCGUGCCAGCAGCCGCGGUAAUACGGAGGAUGCGAGCGUUAUCCGGAAUCAUUGGGUUUAAAGGGUCUGUAGGCGGGCUGGUAAGUCAGAGGUGAAAGCGCUUAGCUCAACUAAGCAACUGCCUUUGAAACUGUUGGUCUUGAAUGGUUGUGAAGUAGUUGGAAUGUGUAGUGUAGCGGUGAAAUGCUUAGAUAUUACACAGAACACCGAUAGCGAAGGCAUAUUACUAACAAUUAAUUGACGCUGAUGGACGAAAGCGUGGGGAGCGAACAGGAUUAGAUACCCUGGUAGUCCACGCUGUAAACGAUGGAUACUAGCUGUUUGGUUUAAGGAUUGAGUGGCUAAGCGAAAGUGAUAAGUAUCCCACCUGGGGAGUACGUUCGCAAGAAUGAAACUCAAAGGAAUUGACGGGGGCCCGCACAAG
rnacentral:rRNA from 1 species